AUGCUUGUUUGUCUUUUUUGUACAAUUGGUGUCUAUUAAUAUCCAAUUACCUGUAACGGGGAGUUUCAGGAUAAAGGAAUGUGGCAUUUUGGAAGAACUUUGCUUUCUAGGAGGUUAUAAGAAAUGAGGGCCUGGCAGUUCCUCUUUGCCUAAAGUCAAUGAGACGUGAUGCUCUUGGAAAGGAUGCAGUUUUGGGCUCCAGGGCCUUGGGUGUGCUGGCCAGAGCUCCUGGCUCUGGGGGUGCUGGGCCUUGAUGGUGUUGCACUAGCUCUUACAGGAGAGAUGUUGGGGAUGCUUCCAGAAAUAGGGUUGCAACUAGAGGUCUCAACACUUGGUCCCUUUUCAAACAAUGGGGAUGGAGUGAAUUUUUGUGCCAAUCUGAGUGAUUUGUGUGUGUACCUUUGAGGUGAGUGGUGGGAGAGAGCAGAGUUAUAGGGGAAGGGAGAUGAGAACAACAGGCAGGUUCAGUCACACGUUUGCUUAAGUUACUCUAACUACAGUUAGAGACUCAGUGAAGAUAGUUUGCUGGGUGUGUUCCUGUCUGUUUAGGUCCACUGCCUCCUGUCUGGUCUUCAGAUUUCCUCACGAAAGACUUUCUCCCCUAAACGCAGUGGCUAAGCGUGGAGGCUGGUGUGGAGAAGGAGGCCGAAGAGGACGCUGGAGUCCCUUGAUCUGGCCCUUCCUUUGGAGCACAAAUUCCUGGGCCCUGUGUCCUUAUGUCCGUAGCUGGCUCAUUCUACCACUCCUUCUGCAAACGACUAGUGGGAACCCCAUUUCUCACGGGCUUUUUUGGAUCUCAGAUUACUCCCUCUGUACCUGUGAUUUCCAUUAUUGGGGUUUUGUUUUGUUUACUUGCAAGGUUCUCUGGCAUGUAGCAAAGAACACGUAUUGCAGAAGGCUGGAAUAAAUUUUGCCGGUAGGUUAGAAACCACAAGGAAAGAGGCCUGAGCUAAUUGGAUUAUUUUUACUAUGGAUAAAUGACUCUCUGCAAAUGUUAAAAAGCAAAACUAAUUUGUCCUCAAUUCUAAGAUCCAAAUGCCUUUGUCAAGAAAUUGUUGUUGAAGCCUGAGUGAGAAUUGCAUGGAGAAAUAAACUAUCAGUUCUGCAUUUUCUGAUUCAGAGAUGUAAAAAAGUUAGUGGAUGAUCCCACAAACACAGCACCUUUGAGGUCUUAUAGUGCAGAUAUAUAGUUACUUGUCUAGGGAAAACUGCUGAACGAUCCCUUCAAAAAACUGGACCGAACCUGCAUGGGUAUGUUCAGAGUAGGUAGAACAGAGCAGGAAAUUCUAAUCUGGAAAUUGGUUCAAUUUCCAGACCUGAUGAUAGAGUGACAUUUGGGCCCUUGUUUUAAAUAAGCCUACAUGGAAACCAACACAGACCAACCCCAUGAGAAAAGCAAGGAUUAUUUACUCAGGACUUGCUAUAGCCAGCAGGUCAGCUGCCAUCACUUGCAUUUGGACAAACCCCAAAGCACGCAGAGGAGUGGGAAAGCUUCCUAGUGGCAGAAAGGUAGGCUUCGGCUGUACCCUGAUAGAGGCUGUGGCUUGGGGAAACUGCAGGCGACUAACCAGGAUCUGGGAUUGGUUAGAAGCUUUCUCUGGCUGGUCCUGAGCUGGAAGCAGGGACAAAAAUCAGGGAAGCCAUCAGUUAUUAAUCAAGCCCCUGCCAUCUUAAGUCCAUUGUUCCCAGGUGACUGUUUGGUUUCCUGGAUUGUUACUAGAGCUAAGGGUCUGGCUUCCUCCAGGUCUGUGGUACAGCAGGCUGGCCUCCCGGGCUGGCUGCUAUAGAUGGUGGGCUGGUUGCUACAGCCUGUGGGUCAGAGCUCUACUUUUAUACGUUGUCUGGCUGUUGUCUGGAUGUUUAGUUUCUCAUCAUCCGAGUUCACAACGUGCUCAUCUACCUUUCUGAAGAGCAUGUCCAUCCACUUUGUCCUUUGAGCCUUUCAGCUGGCCAGGAGCAGGUUCUACGUGGCCAGUCCCACCAAGAGCACCUCCAUUGGUGGUGGGUGCCGUUCCAAAGCAAGGGGCUCCAUCACCUGUGAGCAAAGCUGCCGCCUUGCUGCUCUGUCUGGCUCUGUACGCCAUCCACUGUGCUCCAUGCAUAACUAUCUUAGAGGUAAGUGGCACCCAGUUAUAGUAGGUUUCAAAUAUUGAAUGCUACAACAUGCAUCAUGAUAAAUAUAUUUAAGUAUAUUUUCUCACAGUAAAACGAUGCAGUAGGUAGAUACAACUGUUGUUAUGCUCAGUGUAAAGAUGAUGAUAUGGAGGCUGGGGGAGGUUAAAGAAACUGUCAAUGGCAAGAUGACUAGGAAAUGAUGGGGCUAGAAUUUGAACCAAAGUGGCUUUACUCUACCUUAAGCCAUUGAGCUAUUGUGGAGGUGAGAAUCGGCAAAGUAUACCUUUUUUUUUUUUUUUUUUUCUUUGGUCACCCUAAGGUAUAUGGAAUUCCCAGGCCAGGGAUCAGAUCUGAGCCACAGUCUCAACCUAAGCCGCAGCUAUGGCAGUGCUGGAUCCUUAACCCACUGUGCCUGCCAGGCUGAGGAUCACACCUGCAUCCCAAGGCUCUCAAGAUGUUGCCAAGCCCCUUGUGCCACAGUGGGAACUCCAAAGUGUGCCUUUUUAUGUGCUGAGAAUCUGAGAAGGAGAAUCUCAUCCAAUAGUGCUUGAAUAAUAAAGGAAGGCAUGGAUCCCCUCCGAAGUCUCUAAGGAAGACUAGUGACAAUGAUUACUAAUCCGUCAGGGCUCCAAAAGUUUCCUAUGGGGCCAGUGCUCUAAGGAUUACAAAGAGGUGUAAGAAAUAAUUCUUACCUUCAAAGUUGUCUGGCAGGGAAGCCCAGGCUGGCACACAGGAAACUACUGUUGAAAAAUUAGGUGCUGUCUUUUGUGUACACAGCGAGUAAAACAGGAACUAGAAAAAUUAGAAUAGAUAAAGGAAAAGGGUAGUGAGAAUUUAAUGAAAAGGGUAGUACUGAGCUUUAAAGGACAAGCGGAAUAGACAAGCAUGGCUGGGGGUGGAGGAUAUACUCAUGCUGCAACAGAACAAAGGGUGGGGGAAAAAAGUGUAAUUGUAAUGUAUACAUGUAAGGAUAACUUGAUCCCCUUGCUGUACAGUGG
rnacentral:lncRNA from 1 species